rnacentral:rRNA from 1 species
AGCCCCGGACCAAGGCGCCCGCCGGAGGACCAACCUAAAACUCUUAUUGUAUACCCCCUCGCGGGUUUUUUUAUAAUCUGAGCCUUCUCGGCGCCUCUCGUAGGCGUUUCGAAAAUGAAUCAAAACUUUCAACAACGGAUCUCUUGGUUCUGGCAUCGAUGAAGAACGCAGCGAAAUGCGAUAAGUAAUGUGAAUUGCAGAAUUCAGUGAAUCAUCGAAUCUUUGAACGCACAUUGCGCCCGCCAGUAUUCUGGCGGGCAUGCCUGUCCGAGCGUCAUUUCAACCCUCGAACCCCUCCGGGGGGUCGGCGUUGGGGAUCGGCCCUCCCUCUAGCGGGGGCCGUCUCCGAAAUACAGUGGCGGUCUCGCCGCAGCCUCUCCUGCGCAGUAGUUUGCACACUCGCAUCGGGAGCGCGGCGCGUCCACAGCCGUUAAACACCCAACUUCUGAAAUGUUGACCUCGGAUCAGGUAGGAAUACCCGCUGAACUUAAGCAUAUCAAUAAGCGGAGGA